CCUACGGGAGGCAGCAGUGGGGAAUAUUGCGCAAUGGGCGAAAGCCUGACGCAGCGACGCCGCGUGAGGGAUGAAGGUUCUCGGAUCGUAAACCUCUGUCAGAAGGGAAGAAAUUAUAUCAUGCUAAUCAGUGGUGUAUUGACGGUACCUUCAAAGGAAGCACCGGCUAACUCCGUGCCAGCAGCCGCGGUAAUACGGGGGAUGCAAGCGUUAUCCGGAUUUAUUGGGUUUAAAGGGUGCGUAGGCUGUGAGGUAAGUCAGCGGUGAAAUGCCCCCGCUCAACGGGGUGAAGUGCCAUUGAUACUGCCUUGCUGGAAUGCGGAUGCCGUGGGAGGAAUGUGUGGUGUAGCGGUGAAAUGCAUAGAUAUCACACAGAACACCGAUUGCGAAGGCAUCUCACGAAUCCGCGAUUGACGCUGAUGCACGAAAGCGUGGGUAUCAAACAGGAUUAGAUACCCCUGUAGUC
rnacentral:rRNA from 1 species